rnacentral:lncRNA from 1 species
AGACAAAAUGCCAGCUGGAAAGAUAAGAUAAAAGAGCAAUAAUGGAGCAGAUACAGAGCAAUAAUGGAACAGAUACGACAAAAUCAACGGAGACAAGAUACUGUACAAAGGCAGAAUUAUUGUAUAUUAAUGUAACAAAAGUCUUGAUUGAAAUAGUUGUACAUUAAUUAGAUUGUUGAAAAACUUUACGUAAAGUUAGAAAAGUUAGAAAAGUUAGAUAGGCAUAGGCCCCCCUAAAAGUUAGAAAAGUUAGAAAACUAGAAACAUGUGUAAAUUGUAAACUUACUUUUCGUUCUAUAUAUAACAGAGGCAGAAGGCAUUGCAAAAAGCAAGCCUUCAUGCGUUGAAGCACCUUUGCUCUCUCCAAUCCACAAAAAAUAUUUUACUCAGUUAAUUAGAUAAACAUAUUUCAAUGGAAAAAGCUAUGGAGCAACAAAACUCAGAAAUAACAAAGCUACCUGAACAGGUAUAUCUAUUUAUGAUUAUGAAUAGCUAAUUUCAUAAUUCCCAACAAUCAUGGUAUGAUAAAAUAAAUUCAUAUUAGUUACUUUAUAGUAGAAUUAUUCGAAGAAUAAUAUGUUAAGAAGUUUAUUAACAAAGAGGAAAUGGAGAAAUAUCCCU